rnacentral:rRNA from 1 species
UGGGGAAUUUUGGACAAUGGGGGAAACCCUGAUCCAGCCAUCCCGCGUGUGCGAUGAAGGCCUUCGGGUUGUAAAGCACUUUUGGCAGGAAAGAAACGUCGUGGGUUAAUACCCCGCGAAACUGACGGUACCUGCAGAAUAAGCACCGGCUAACUACGUGCCAGCAGCCGCGGUAAUACGUAGGGUGCAAGCGUUAAUCGGAAUUACUGGGCGUAAAGCGUGCGCAGGCGGUUCGGAAAGAAAGAUGUGAAAUCCCAGAGCUUAACUUUGGGAACUGCAUUUUUAACUACCGGGCUAGAGUGUGUCAGAGGGAGGUGGAAUUCCGCGUGUAGCAGUGAAAUGCGUAGAUAUGCGGAGGAACACCGAUGGCGAAGGCAGCCUCCUGGGAUAACACUGACGCUCAUGCACGAAAAGCGUGGGGAGCAAACAGGAUUAGAUACCCUGGUAGUCCACGCCCUAAAACGAUGUCAACUAGCUGUUGGGGGUCUUCGGACCUUGGUAGCGCAGCUAACGCGUGAAGUUGACCGCCUGGGGAGUACGGUCGCAAGAUUAAAACUUAAAUGAA